rnacentral:rRNA from 1 species
AGAGUUUGAUCCUGGCUCAGGACGAACGCUGGCGGCGUGCUUAACACAUGCAAGUCGAACGGAAAGGCCCUUCGGGGUACUCGAGUGGCGAACGGGUGAGUAACACGUGGGUGAUCUGCCCUGCACUUUGGGAUAAGCCUGGGAAACUGGGUCUAAUACCGAAUAUGACCACGCUCUUCAUGGGGUGUGGUGGAAAGCUUUUGCGGUGUGGGAUGGGCCCGCGGCCUACCAGCUUGUUGGUGGGGUAAUGGCCUACCAAGGCGACGACGGGUAGCCGGCCUGAGAGGGUGACCGGCCACACUGGGACUGAGAUACGGCCCAGACUCCUACGGGAGGCAGCAGUGGGGAAUAUUGCACAAUGGGCGCAAGCCUGAUGCAGCGACGCCGCGUGAGGGAUGACGGCCUUCGGGUUGUAAACCUCUUUCACCAGGGACGAAGCGCAAGUGACGGUACCUGGAGAAGAAGCACCGGCCAACUACGUGCCAGCAGCCGCGGUAAUACGUAGGGUGCGAGCGUUGUCCGGAAUUACUGGGCGUAAAGAGCUCGUAGGUGGUUUGUCGCGUUGUUCGUGAAAACUCACAGCUUAACUGUGGGCGUGCGGGCGAUACGGGCAGACUAGAGUACUGCAGGGGAGACUGGAAUUCCUGGUGUAGCGGUGGAAUGCGCAGAUAUCAGGAGGAACACCGGUGGCGAAGGCGGGUCUCUGGGCAGUAACUGACGCUGAGGAGCGAAAGCGUGGGGAGCGAACAGGAUUAGAUACCCUGGUAGUC